GGCACGUAAUGAUAAAAUCGUCAACAUCCGAUUCAGGAGCGGGCAUGGCUUUUUGCAAUGUUACCCUUAUGAAGUGUUCCACUACUCAUCUGAAAUUGGGGAUUUGGACAAAACAUUUUUCAAAGGGUGGUAUCAUUUAUUUAAAUUUUUUCCCGUGAAGGACCGUCCGCUUGUCAGAGGAGAAACAGACCUACUUGACUCUGAUAUUAUCAAUGAAGCAGGCAGUGAUGGUGUGAUAUUGUUCAGGAUCUACCUGCCACCAGACUUUCCCCAUGUCCCGCAGCCACUAACCAUGGAGUUCUUUGGUCUCUUCAAGGCUGAGUUUUUCAGGGAUGCUUGUGACAUCCCCCCUCCUUAUAGGGACUUUGUCCUUAGGCACAUAGUUGCCACAGUGUUGAAGCAGAAAUAGGAUGCUUUUGAAACUGAGAGGACUGUGAAGGAUGGGUUCGGGAAGACAGGUAUCUUUCUAUUUGACUACCAUGUCAUGGCUAGGUCCGUAUGGUGUGGGAGGGAAAAGAUGAGGCCCGAGUUCGGUUCUGCUGGACCCUGUGAUGAUGGGCCAAAGAAAAAAUGACCCGAACUUGUGACAGACAAGGGUGACAGACAGUUCUUAUGACAAUAAGAAGGCAUUAAAGGUGGAAUCUGACGCCAAACCGGUGUUGCCUGGGUCGUUUCUGCCAGUUUCUCUGCCAUCAGAGUCUGUUAAGAAAGGAGAUAUUAGUAUUUUCCAAGAGAUCACAGCCAUGACUCCAUUGAGAGAUGGGAUGAGACUUCGGGCCCUGACGAUAUAUCGGAAGCGUCCCAGGAGUUAACAGAGGAAUCUUCAGACUUAUCAGACGGCCCUGAUGAAUCAAACAGAUUUAGAAUACGUUGACGAAGAAGAAGAGUUACCUGAAACUUCACAAGCUGUGAGAGGAAAAGCAUCUUCAAAGUCACUGCUGCCAGAGAAACAGUCACCUCAUGGUGAAACAUUUUUAAUUGCACUAUUGGGCCCAAUCUAAGUGUCUAACCACAGAAACACAGGUUAGAAUGGUCUUAUUUGAAUUUUUAGCUCAUCUAUGCCUUUACUACGGAGAUUUAAGUUGUGCUUCAAAUAUAGUUUUUUCAUGCUGACAAGAAGUGUGUAAACAAUACAUACAGGGCUCGACAUUAUGGCUUGUCCGCCUCUCUGGGGCAAUUUUUAAAAAACUGUCGGACAACCAGAAUAUGGAUUUCAGUUGUCCGAAUGGACAAAAAAAAUCACAAUAUCAAACCCUCUUAAUGCUUUUAAUUGUGAUCAGAAUUGGAAAAGGCAGCACACAUCAGGGCAGUGCAUGUUUGUUUGUGUUUUUCCCCCCACCUUCAUUUAACCAGGAAGGCCAGUUGAGAACAAGUUCUCAUUGACAACUGCGACCUUGCCAAGAUAAAGCAAAGCAGUGCGACAAAAACAACAACACAGAGUUACACAUAAACAAACAUACAGUCAACAACACAAAAGAAAAGAAAAAUAGAAAAUCUAUACAGUGUGUGCAAAUGUAGGGAGGUAGGCAAUAAAUAGGCCCUAGAGGCGAAAAUAAUUACAACUUAGCAUUAAUACGGGAGUGAUAGAUGAUGAUGUGCAAGUAGAGAUACUGGGGUGCAAGAGGGUAAGUAAUAAUAUGGGGAUUAGGUAGUCGGGUGUGCUAUUUCCAGAUUGGCUGUGUACAGGUACAGUGAUCGGUAAACUGCUCUGACAUUCUUACUAAAUUGCUUAUAUUCCUAUUUGCUAUAGCCUAUUUAAAUAAAUAUGUUAUAUUUACACAAGGCAAGAGAAGGAUGUAGAUACUAAGAGUCUCACCAAAGCAGCGCAGAAUAUCCGGUCAGAAAAUAUAUAUAUAUAUUUUUCGCUCUCUAGAAUGUUGGAUGAUCUGGGCCAAUAGCCAAAAUCUAUUUUUAUAGCGGACACUCUGGUGUUUUAUUGUUAUAGAAGCCCACAUUUUAUAUUUUCUCUCCAUUUUAUAUGAAUAUGACUUGGCCUGUUAAGCCACUCUUUCAGUUUAAGGCAUGCUAGACUUUUCCUGCCGCGCUAGUUCAUGAUCAAACAAGUUUGAAGUUGUUUUUGAAUAACCCAAAAACAUGGGAGCCCUAAGGUAAUAAUGAAAGGGAUAUAAGAAACAACAGCAAGUUAUAGAAAUCAAAUGAGACAUUUUUACAAACCGUAUAGUUGAGCAAAGCAUUAUAACACAAAUGAUGCAUGCAUGUGAGGCCGAGCAAAAGCCUAAUCCUACUAAUUAAAAUAUCAUAAAAUCAUUAAGACAAUUAAAAUGGAGUAUUUUCCAAACUAUUCUAAUACAGUGUUUAAUAUCCUAAAGUUGCAGCUUUAAAAUGGGAAUAAUAAUGAAAGUCCGAUUCUAUACUAUUCUCAAUCAGAUUUAUUUUGAAUUAGCAAUAUUUUAGGCCACAAGACGUGAAAUUGAGCAAACGAUACCAAGAUGGAAAAAUCGAAUGAGUCAAAAGAAAAGUUAGCCUACAGCUGACGAAAGUUUAUGAAAUAAAUUAUACGUAGUUACGCUAGGCCAAUUUUCAUAUUAUUCUGUCAAUGGGCAACCUACAACGCAUAUAGUAGCCGAGGCAACAAUGUGAAUAAAUUUAUAAUUAUCCAGUUCUGAGGACAGCACAAUUGUUCUGCAGCCCACGACAACCCAUAACACACACAACCAGCGAGGCUCGUUGACUGUGACUCACUCAUUCCAUCUGCGACCUCUUCAGCACACACACACACACACACACACACACACACACAGAGAUAGCCAAUGCAACCUGGUCUCAGAGCAUUUCGUAUCAUUCUGUACGUAAAUCCGAAACAUUUGAUUUAGUGUGAUAUGUUUCAUAUGGUAUGUAUGAACUUGUGAUUACAAUUCGUAUGAUAUGUUCCGAAUAGAAAUUCGUACAUUAUGUUACAUUCGUAUACAUUUUGCUAAAUUUGUGAAACGUAG
ensembl:lncRNA